ACACAGUAUACGUUUUUUAAAUUUUAAACUAUUUAAUACUGUACUCACCAAUGAUUGUGAAGCUUGGUUGAUGCGGGGCAUAGUGGGGUCGGGGCGCGGAGCCUUGUCCCACUCCACCCCUCCGGCGCUCCUGUCCGAGAGCGGGGUCGGGGGCUUGCUCACUCCCCAGCUGGAAUGCCAGUGAGCGGGGCAAGCCCCUGUGCCUUGACCCCACUCUCUGGCAGGAGCAACGGGUGGAGCGGGGCGAGCCAAACAACUUUAUAACAGAACGUUGCAUGACUUUAAAUGAGUACGUUCUCUAAUAGAUCAGCAACCUAAUAACAAAACAAUGUUAACUGGGAUGACUUUAAGUGAGGAGUUACUGUAUUUAAUCAAAUCACCUCUCAAACGUCUUUUUGAUAAACAGCUUGAGCUUGCACUACCUAUGUCAACGGGAGGGGUUCUCCUGUCAUGAUAGGUAAUCCACCUCCCCGAGAGGCAAUAGCUUAUGGAAGAAUUCUUCCGUCGACCUAGCAUUGUCUACACAGGGUCUUAUGUUGGCUUAGCUACGCCACUCAAGGAUGUGGAUUUUUUUUAAGCCCGUGAAUGAUGUAGUUAACCUAAUUUUCUGGUGUAGACCAGGCCUUGGUGUCUCACUGUAAGGUAUUUUCCCCAGCCCAUAAGUCAUUUUUGUGGCUCUCUGCUGCACCCUCUCCAGUUUUUCAACAUCCUUUUUAAAAUGUGGACACCAGAACUGAGCUCAGGGUUCCAGUAUUUCUCUCACCAAUACCAUGUACCGAGAUGAAAAUCACCUCCGUAUGGCUACUCACCCUCUUUGUAUGUCCAAGGGUCUUAUCAGCCCUUUGUGGCAUGGCAUUGCACUGGGCACUCACUUGUCCCCUGUGUCCCCUAAAUCCUUUUCAGAGUCACUGCUUUCUAGGAUACGACCCCCUCCCCCAUUCUGUGUUCCUUGUUUCUAGAUGUGCAACUCUGCUUUUGGCUGUAUUAAAAUACAUUUGUUUGAAUGGGCCCAGCUUGCUAAGCGCUUCAGAUCCCUCUGUCGUCUUCAUUAUUACAGUCUACCAAUAGAAAGCUGCAGUUUCAAUGCAGAAGCCUGGCAAGGUUCAGUCCUCCAGCAUCUACUAGGUGGAUUCUACAGACAGACGAGACUGCAGACAGACGUUCUUGAGGAAGCCACGUGGCUUGAUGCUGGCAGGUUCCAACAGGAAGAAACAUCCUUGAAGGGAAACGCAGAGGCUGGGCUGGAGCAUGGUUAUGGAAGGGCCCACAAGUUGCACUUGGAGUGUGUACAGCAUGAUUGUAGGGCUGCGUAUUUCUGAGUGCUAGCUGGUCCUAGUUGCGGACCAGUUGUAGGCACUGGAAUUACAGCCAAAGCUUUAGAGACAAGGCUGAGAAACCAAAUUGGAUAAGGGCAUGGGGGGAGGGGGAGGCCGAGACUGCAGAUGGGGUUGAUGUGGAGGAGGAAGAAUGUGACGACAAUGAAGACUAGAAAUACUAGGGGGUCAUACACAUCGCAGCUUGUGUUGGCUGAUCUCAUUGCACCCACCAGGGGGCGUGCGCACGCAAGCCUCCAUUCCCGCCUCCCGGGGUCCCGCCCCCCCAUCCCCCCCUCUACUGCAGGGACUCUCUCUUACUCCCACCACUCCCUCCCUGCCUCAUGCCUGGGGCUGUCCGCCCAUUCUCCCUUCCCCUGCCAUGGCAGAGUCUCGCUGUGCCCUCCACUCUUCCCACUGUCACAUGCCAGGGUCCCCCAAUCGCCCCUUGCCAGGGGUUCUGUGUGCCCCCUAUUCCCCCUUCCUCCCAUAAGUCAUCCAUUCUCCUCCCCCGUGUGCCAAAGACUGCGUGCACCCAUACCAGGGUCCCUCAAUUCCCCCCCCCCCCGCCCCCGGGCCUGCCAAGGGCAGGGCACGUCUCCCUUCCCCACGCAACAUUGUUAUUUGUCUCCUUUCUCUUUAGGAGAUCAGACACUCAGUGUGUCCACGUAUAAUAACUCUUGGGAAGCUGGACAGAGCUGAGAUUGGGGUGGAGGUGGGGGUAAUUUUUAUGCUGGAAGGCAGUAAAGGGUGCCAUCAACCGCUCUUUAAUCUAUAGGCAAUUGCAGAGCUUCUUGAAGCUCUGGCCAUGUUAAACAGAGGCCGAGGCGCUGUGCGUACCCCAUUUCCCCCUGUCCAUUUUCAGAUUUCCUCCCGAAUCAAUAGGGGUCUGCCCAUUGAUGCCUAGAACAUUCCCUGAAAUUCUGGAAUUGAUGGGGUGCAGUGUUUGAAAAGUGAUGGCAUGACAGACGGGCCACAAGUUGGGCGUAAGGCCUUGCAAGCUUGGCCUGCUAAGAGCAGAAGGGGAAAGUGGAGCUAUACAGCCCUGCAAGAGCUAGUCUGACCUUGCCAGGAUAGAGGAGGACAGAGAGAGGUCCAAGUGGGGGCGGGGGGUGGUGGUGGUAAGUAGCCAAACCGAAGAGGCAUUCAUAGAUCUAGUCAUAGUGAUCCUGAGCGGCACCUCCUGCAUGGAUGGGGAAGCUGACCUGAGAGAUCUGACGCAGAUAAAGAACAGCAUAAAAUCUGGCCUCCUGGGAGCCUGGCUAGAUGUGAUGAGACGGGCGGAGUGUACCGGAGACGCUUGCACCAUCCGUCUCUGCAAGGACAAGUGAUGAGACAGCUUGGAGCAGGGAGGUGCCAGUAUCACCAUGGAAGAUCAGUCUUCUGAAGGGAGCACGUUUCUGGCCAUUGUGUCUGUACGAGCAAUGAGCUCAAUGAGCCCCAAACCUCUGUGCUUCCCCGAGGGCAUCGUCCUCCUCCAGCCUCCUGGGGCACCAGACACUACAACGCCAAGCAAGGCACAACUUUCCGAAAGGCUCUUGCAGGUCACAAUUACCAACACACUGUGGCCUGGUUCUGUUUUGGGAGAAGUUUGGACGGUGUCUGUUCACAUCUCACUUGCUGUACAACUUGUGUCCUCACAAGAGGGUUUUUGGAUUGUUUGCUUUGCUCUUUAGACUAAUCAGUCACAUAACAUAGUGCCACAGAAGUGCUUCUGAUUGGGGUGGAGAAGUGUCUAACCGUUGUGGCAAUCGGAACAGGACGAGUUUGGAGGAGAACAAAGAAUGGAACGUGCCUUCACCGAGUGGCAUUUAAAUUGGACAAGCAGCAAGGAGACUCAUGAUGUUCUGUACAAAAUAGCCAUUUGCUUCGUAAGUGGGGAAAUACCUCAGGGCUUGGAGUUCUGCAGAGAUUCACUCCUGACCUUAGUCCUGCUGAAGAUGAUGCACUGAACCCUGUGCAGUUUACCCUCUCUCUGCAUCUGUUGGACGGGUUCAUAAAUGAAAGGCCCUGUCUGCUCUCUAGGGACAGGAAAGAUGCCGUAUCACUUCUUGUAGGUCAGGGUUUGACCUAGUAUCUUUGGCCAAAUCGUCCCCCCACAGUACUGUCUGUUUAUCAAUGUACGCCACCUGCAUCUUAUAGUCCAUUGCUCCUCCCUUACCCCCUCCCCCCCCCCGCCAAAGUCAGAGGCACUGAAUGCCAGAAGGGCUGUUACUUCUCUGAACUGCACUAGUGUUUGUGUAGGGGUGGAUGUUCUGGGCCGCAUGCAGAGGUGAUGUGUAUCCGGGGGGCGGGAGAGAAAUCAGCUAAGACCAAGCUGCUCUAAUGUCCCAUUUUCAUUUCACAGACAGCAGGACUGAGCCCUUGGUUUGCAGAGACCUUAGUGGGGGGUUUCACAUUGUAAAGUAAACAAGUUCAAACUAGCACCUUGAGAAUCCACCUACUAUACAAGCCUCAUCCAGAGGCUUUUCUAGCAGAGCCAAUGGCCAAUUGGCUCCUUUAGUUUCGUUGAACGCCAUUGCUUCCCCUAAAGAAGAAUCCUUGGUGGAGGCAAAUUUGCAUCCCCUUCUCUGCCCUGCCCCUGGCUGCACUUUGACAGGUCACAGCCCCCCACCCUCAGCUCGCUGAGCCCAAAGAGGCUUAGACAGGGGUGUGGAGCUAAAAAUCCUUUGAACUGGCUGGGUUCAGGCAUCCUGUGUUGAGGUUAGGGUAGAAUGGGGUUUGGAGAGCGAGUUGACAGCGGGAGCAGAGGAGCCAGUCCACAACGGGAUAUGCUGGGGAGUGGAAGUGCCCAUUCAGGGUCCACCAGGCAAGGCUGCAUGCACAUCUGGGCACAUCCAGCCCCUGCUCCUUGCGUAUACAGAGCACCCACGGACAGUUGUCUGUGUGCAUAGUGCCCCAUCACACCCAGUUAGCACUCCCUACGCAUACAGGGCACCUAGGGACUCUGCCCCAUGUGCAUGGAGCACCCAUCACACCCAGGGACUGCUCCUGGGCCUACGGGGCACCCAGGGACUGAGCCACGUGUGCAUGGAGCACCCGUCACACCCAGAGACUGCAACAUAAGCAAAGCGCCUAGCAAACAUUUAUGCUGCUGUAAACCAGCCCUUCCAUGUGCAGAUCCUGCACCCCUGCACUAAUGACCUGUUGUGGUGUGUAAUGAGCACUGGACUAGCUCUCCAUGGCACUCAGGCUCCCAAAUGAGUGCUGAGACUCCCAACCUUGGCCAGCAGUCCUCAGACCAAGUGAUUCUGUUAAGCUACCAUUAUGGCCAGCAGCCUCUGUGCCCAGCAUGCCACCUGUGCACCCUCCCCAUGCACUGCCUCUCCUUACCCUUGCACAUCUCCUUGGAGCUGGCACCAAGCACCCGUCUUCCCUAGGAACCGCUCCAUGGCACCCAACAGCCAUGGCUGAGCACCCACUGCACCAUGCGAGCUGCAUGGGUAUGCUGAGCAAGCUCUCAGUGCAUGCCAGGCUGACCAGUGACCUUUCAUGAGUGCAGCAUGCCCUUAAGGGUCUGCACCCUCCAUACACACUCAGCAUCCCCUUUCCUUCGUGCUUAGAGGCUGAGUGAUCCAUUUCCGUCAGGAGUGAAGUGUCUGCUCUGCCCAGAGACCUUCCCAUGUGCACCCAGUGCAUUCAGUGUACACAGACUUGGAUCUCUGUGUGCAUCGCGCGACUGGCCCACCUUGCAACAAGCAAUGCACACUGACCUCCUGUGUGCGCACCAAGAGACUGUCACAUCAGUGACUCCUCCCCAGGCACCAAGACCUACAGUCAACCUCUCCAUGAGCGUUGAGAGAAGCUACAGCAGCCACCGAGUGACCUCUCAGGGCCCCAAGAUUCACCACUCCAGCCAGUGGCCUCUGCCUGCACCUUCCACGCAUAUCUGGCUUGGCUCGUUUAUGCAUCCCAGAUGUGGGUGAGCGCAUUCUCCUGCUCCUCCAUCAUGAAAAUGUCUCAAAUUUGGGAACUAGCCAGUGGGAGGAGUCACGCCCAAAAUUCUGAGACCAAGUCAUUGCUUCAUAGAUGGGCAGCUGCUUGGAAAUCAGCUAUUCCAUGUGUCACUCACCAGUGUGGCCCUCAUUAAUAUUCUGCCGUUAUUACACUCAUAUUUAAAAUGGUUAUAGCCCAUUUAACUCAAAAGAUCCCAGCAUGCCUGACAAGCCACCUAGAGCAGUGGUGAGUAAAACUUUAACACUGAGGGCUGAAAUGGCAACUUGUCAGGAGUCUGAGAGUCACAACUCUGGAAUAUAUUUACAUACAUUUGCAUGAUUUUAUGUCUAGCCACAUUCCCCCUUGAUGCAUUUAGAAUAAAGGAGCUCAAUCUGUUUAGCUUAACCUUCUCUUUGUUAAGGGGUGACCUGAUCAGUCUGUAAUUAUCUACAUGGGGAACAGAUAUUUGAUAAUAGGUUCUUCAAACUAGCAGAUAAAGGUAUACCAAGACCAGGUGGCUGGAGGUGGAAGCCGGACAAAUUCAGCCUGCAAAUAAGGUGCACAUCUUUAUGUGAGGGUAAUUAGCCAUUGGAACAACUCACCAAGGGCUGGGGUGGAUUCUCCAUCCCAGGCAAUUUUAAAAUCAAGACUGGUUGUCUUUUUUCCCUAAAUGAUCUGCUCUAGUUCAAAUAAACAAUGGAGGGAAAUCCUUUGGCCUCUGUUUUAGAGGAGAUCAGACGAGACGAUCCCAGUGGUCUCUUCUGACCUUCUAAGCCACGAAUCUAGAUUAAAGCCAGAAACGAUCGCAAUGAUCAUUUAGUCUGACCUGCACCACGCAGGCCAGAGAAUUCCACCCAGCCGUAGGAGUCAGAAGAGAGGGGUGUAGCACGGAAAAACAGCCGAUAGGAGCUGACGUUCAAGUAGUCCCCACCCAGCUUUAAACUCACCGGCUCUUCCAGCUCAUCACUAUACAAGGUUUUCUGCUGGGCCUGGGAGGUGCUGAGGGCCUCUGCCCGGCAACCUCCGCUCCUGCUGAGCUCAAUGGAAGGUGCAGGCAGCCAGACUGGAUCCUGCAUGAUUUGUGCUGGCUCCAGCAGAGGGAGCCCGGCUGCAAAGAAUGAUCUGUCUCUGCCUCGCACAAAGCUUAGGGGAGCCAGUGCCGGAUCUCGUUCAGGUUUAAACAAGCACCCAGCUGUGCUACAGGCUUAUGUUGGGCCAGAGCCUGGUCUCAGCUGCACCAGAAGAAAUCCAUUGACUUCAGGAGUUAAUCUGGAUUCACAUCCGUGGACCAGACCAGACCAGAUUCCAGCCCUGUGCAGCUCAUCAACUGUUACCUUGCUGGAGGCCAGCAGCAUGGGGGGCACUGCACAAGUUAUGCACUCUAGUGAGAUGGCUGGCAACCACUAAAAAACACACUU